AGGGCGCACGGUGGAUGCCUUGGCACUAGAAGCCGAUGAAGGACGUUACUAACGACGAUAUGCUUUGGGGAGCUGUAAGUAAGCUUUGAUCCAGAGAUUUCCGAAUGGGGAAACCCAGCAUGAGUUAUGUCAUGUUAUCGAUAUGUGAAUACAUAGCAUAUCAGAAGGCACACCCGGAGAACUGAAACAUCUUAGUACCCGGAGGAAGAGAAAGAAAAUUCGAUUCCCUUAGUAGCGGCGAGCGAAACGGGAAGAGCCCAAACCAACAAGCUUGCUUGUUGGGGUUGUAGGACACUCUAUACGGAGUUACAAAGGACGACAUUAGACGAAUCAUCUGGAAAGAUGAAUCAAAGAAGGUAAUAAUCCUGUAGUCGAAAAUGUUGUCUCUCUUGAGUGGAUCCUGAGUACGACGGAGCACGUGAAAUUCCGUCGGAAUCUGGGAGGACCAUCUCCUAAGGCUAAAUACUCUCUAGUGACCGAUAGUGAACCAGUACCGUGAGGGAAAGGUGAAAAGCACCCCGGAAGGGGAGUGAAAUAGAACCUGAAACCGUGUGCUUACAAGUAGUCAGAGCCCGUUAAUGGGUGAUGGCGUGCCUUUUGUAGAAUGAACCGGCGAGUUACGAUUUGAUGCAAGGUUAAGCAGUAAAUGUGGAGCCGUAGCGAAAGCGAGUCUGAAUAGGGCGUUUAGUAUUUGGUCGUAGACCCGAAACCAGGUGAUCUACCCUUGGUCAGGUUGAAGUUCAGGUAACACUGAAUGGAGGACCGAACCGACUUACGUUGAAAAGUGAGCGGAUGAACUGAGGGUAGCGGAGAAAUUCCAAUCGAACCUGGAGAUAGCUGGUUCUCUCCGAAAUAGCUUUAGGGCUAGCCUCAAGUGAUGAUUAUUGGAGGUAGAGCACUGUUUGGACGAGGGGCCCCUCUCGGGUUACCGAAUUCAGACAAACUCCGAAUGCCAAUUAAUUUAACUUGGGAGUCAGAACAUGGGUGAUAAGGUCCGUGUUCGAAAGGGAAACAGCCCAGACCACCAGCUAAGGUCCCAAAAUAUAUGUUAAGUGGAAAAGGAUGUGGCGUUGCCCAGACAACUAGGAUGUUGGCUUAGAAGCAGCCAUCAUUUAAAGAGUGCGUAAUAGCUCACUAGUCGAGUGACACUGCGCCGAAAAUGUACCGGGGCUAAACAUAUUACCGAAGCUGUGGAUUGUCCUUUGGACAAUGGUAGGAGAGCGUUCUAAGGGCGUUGAAGCAUGAUCGUAAGGACAUGUGGAGCGCUUAGAAGUGAGAAUGCCGGUGUGAGUAGCGAAAGACGGGUGAGAAUCCCGUCCACCGAUUGACUAAGGUUUCCAGAGGAAGGCUCGUCCGCUCUGGGUUAGUCGGGUCCUAAGCUGAGGCCGACAGGCGUAGGCGAUGGAUAACAGGUUGAUAUUCCUGUACCACCUAUAAUCGUUUUAAUCGAUGGGGGGACGCAGUAGGAUAGGCGAAGCGUGCGAUUGGAUUGCACGUCUAAGCAGUAAGGCUGAGUAUUAGGCAAAUCCGGUACUCGUUAAGGCUGAGCUGUGAUGGGGAGAAGACAUUGAGUCUUCGAGUCGUUGAUUUCACACUGCCGAGAAAAGCCUCUAGAUAGAAAAUAGGUGCCCGUACCGCAAACCGACACAGGUAGUCAAGAUGAGAAUUCUAAGGUGAGCGAGCGAACUCUCGUUAAGGAACUCGGCAAAAUGACCCCGUAACUUCGGGAGAAGGGGUGCUCUUUAGGGUUAACGCCCAGAAGAGCCGCAGUGAAUAGGCCCAAGCGACUGUUUAUCAAAAACACAGGUCUCUGCUAAACCGUAAGGUGAUGUAUAGGGGCUGACGCCUGCCCGGUGCUGGAAGGUUAAGAGGAGUGGUUAGCUUCUGCGAAGCUACGAAUCGAAGCCCCAGUAAACGGCGGCCGUAACUAUAACGGUCCUAAGGUAGCGAAAUUCCUUGUCGGGUAAGUUCCGACCCGCACGAAAGGCGUAACGAUUUGGGCACUGUCUCAACGAGAGACUCGGUGAAAUCAUAGUACCUGUGAAGAUGCAGGUUACCCGCGACAGGACGGAAAGACCCCGUGGAGCUUUACUGUAGCCUGAUAUUGAAAUUCGGCACAGCUUGUACAGGAUAGGUAGGAGCCUUUGAAACGUGAGCGCUAGCUUACGUGGAGGCGCUGGUGGGAUACUACCCUAGCUGUGUUGGCUUUCUAACCCGCACCACUUAUCGUGGUGGGAGACAGUGUCAGGCGGGCAGUUUGACUGGGGCGGUCGCCUCCUAAAAGGUAACGGAGGCGCUCAAAGGUUCCCUCAGAAUGGUUGGAAAUCAUUCAUAGAGUGUAAAGGCAUAAGGGAGCUUGACUGCGAGACCUACAAGUCGAGCAGGGUCGAAAGACGGACUUAGUGAUCCGGUGGUUCCGCAUGGAAGGGCCAUCGCUCAACGGAUAAAAGCUACCCCGGGGAUAACAGGCUUAUCUCCCCCAAGAGUUCACAUCGACGGGGAGGUUUGGCACCUCGAUGUCGGCUCAUCGCAUCCUGGGGCUGUAGUCGGUCCCAAGGGUUGGGCUGUUCGCCCAUUAAAGCGGUACGCGAGCUGGGUUCAGAACGUCGUGAGACAGUUCGGUCCCUAUCCGUCGUGGGCGUAGGAAAUUUGAGAGGAGCUGUCCUUAGUACGAGAGGACCGGGAUGGACAUACCUCUGGUGUACCAGUUGUCGUGCCAACGGCAUAGCUGGGUAGCUAUGU
rnacentral:rRNA from 1 species